UACAGAGGAUGCAAGCGUUAUCCGGAAUGAUUGGGCGUAAGCGUCUGUAGGUGGCUUUUAAGUCCGCCGUCAAAUCCCAGGGCUCAACUCUGGACAGGCGGUGGAAACUACCAAGCUGGAGUACGGUAGGGCAGAGGGAAUUUCCGGUGGAGCGGUGAAAUGCGGUAGAGAUCGGAAAGAACACCAACGGCGAAAGCACUCUGCUGGGCCGACACUGACACUGAGAGACGAAAGCUAGGGGAGCGAAUGGGA
rnacentral:rRNA from 1 species